GAUCCUGUCAGCUAAUCGGUUAGGCUAUCGCACUUUCACUGCGAAAACCCGGGUUCGAAUCCCGGCAGGAUCGCCA
rnacentral:tRNA from 1 species